AAUGCAAAGAGCUGAGUAUAUUUAAGUGUGUGCAUGUGUACACGGAAUCCAAAGUACCAUCAGGGUGUACACCCCACCCCUGGCGUCGUUGCCCACCUCUCAAUGUUAAAUACACGUAGACAUUGAGGGCCAGCAGGAGGGACCAUGCGCUUACCUGCUGCUCUCUGGCAGGUAGCUCCAUGCCCUCCUGGGUUUUAAAUGCACCUUAGAACACACAUGCAUCAACAUUACAAUGAGCGGGUGGAGGGAGUGUGAUCGUGUGUACAGCGUCUCUUUAUGUCUGUCUCCACGUUGGUUGAGUGUGGAGUAAGUGUAUAUGAGAGCAUGAGGGUGGGAAUGGAUGUUUGUAUAUGUGUGUGCCUGUAUGUCUGUGUCUAUAUGUCAGGUUGGGUGUCAGGCGCCACCUCUCUGGGGACAUCUUAGGCCCUCCAAGGUAUGGAGGCCUAUCUCCCCC
ensembl:lncRNA